GCAUUAAUGGGGUAGUGGUAACCUGGGUCGUUGCCAUUAUCUGAAAGGAUCUCGACCCGCCGGGGGUUCGAUUCCCCCUUAAUGCA